UACGGAGGGUGCAAGCGUUGCUCGGAAUCAUUGGGCGUAAAGCGCACGUAGGCGGUCGAGUAAGUCGGGUGUGAAAGCCCUGGGCUUAACCCAGGAAGUGCAACCGAAACUACUCGACUUGAGUACUGAAGAGGAUCGCGGAAUUCCCGGUGUAGAGGUGAAAUUCGUAGAUAUCGGGAGGAACACCAGUGGCGAAGGCGGCGAUCUGGGCAGAUACUGACGCUGAGGUGCGAAAGCGUGGGGAGCAAACAGG
rnacentral:rRNA from 1 species